rnacentral:rRNA from 1 species
AGUGAACGCUGGCGGCAUGCCUAACACAUGCAAGUCGAACGAGUGGCGGACGGGUGAGGAAUACAUCGGAAUCUACUCAGUCGUGGGGGAUAACGUAUGGCAACUUUCGCUAAUACCGCAUACUAUUGAAUGAGCCGAUGUCGGAUUAGCUAGUUGGUGGGGUAAAGGCCCACCAAGGCGACGAUCCGUAGCUGGUCUGAGAGGGUGAUCCGCCACACUGGAACUGAGACACGGUCCAGACUCCUACGGGAGGCAGCAGUGGGGAAUAUUGGACAAUGGGCGCAAGCCUGAUCCAGCCAUGCCGCGUGGGUGAAGAAGGCCUUCGGGUUGUAAAGCCCUUUUGUUAGGAAAGCGGUACCCAAAGAAUAAGCACCGGCUAACUACGUGCCAGCAGCCGCGGUAAUAC